rnacentral:rRNA from 2 species
GUGACCUCAAAUCAGGUAGGACUACCCGCUGAACUUAAGCAUAUCAAUAAGCGGAGGAAAAGAAACUAACAAGGAUUCCCCUAGUAACUGCGAGUGAAGCGGGAAAAGCUCAAAUUUAAAAUCUGUCAGUCUUUGGCUGUCCGAGUUGUAAUCUAGAGAAGUGUUAUCCGCGCUGGACCGUGUACAAGUCUCCUGGAAUGGAGCGUCAUAGAGGGUGAGAAUCCCGUCUUUGACACGGACUGCCAGGGCUUUGUGAUAUGCUCUCAAAGAGUCGAGUUGUUUGGGAAUGCAGCUCAAAAUGGGUGGUAAAUUCCAUCUAAAGCUAAAUAUUGGCGAGAGACCGAUAGCGAACAAGUACCGUGAGGGAAAGAUGAAAAGAACUUUGGAAAGAGAGUUAAACAGUACGUGAAAUUGCUGAAAGGGAAACGCUUGAAGUCAGUCGCGUUGUCCAGGGAUCAGCCUUGCUUUUGCUUGGUGUACUUUCUGGUUGACGGGUCAGCAUCAAUUUUGACUGUUGGAAAAAGGUCAGGGGAAUGUGGCAUCUUCGGAUGUGUUAUAGCCCUUGGUUGCAUACAAUGGUUGGGAUUGAGGAACUCAGCACGCCGCAAGGCCGGGUAACUAUUACCACGUACGUGCUAGGAUGCUGCU